ensembl:lncRNA
CUAGCCCAUGCUACAGCAGCCACUAGCCUGCUCCGUUGCGGACAGCUGCCGAGCACGGCUGCACUGAAGGUAUGUCCGGUAGGUUUGAGAGAGAUUUCGACGCGGAAUAAACGACAAAAACAAGAAUUAAAUUGAUUUAAUGGAGCGUAUUAACUACAUAUUCAGAGCUGUAAUAGAGCUAAAUGGGGAUCUCGACAGCUAGCUAUCGCGCUCAUUUCAUUCUGUGGUACUCGCUAGCCAGGUUGCUAAUGAGAAUGAGUUUUGCGGGAUGCUGUUAGCUAGCGAGGCUGGCUCGACUACACGAUGUCUGCUGUAUUAAAUCGGUUAGCUAAACAUAAAUGAGCACAAAACAAAGUAUUUUAAUUACCCGUCGUAUUUUAAACACCAAGCAAGAUGGACAGGGUUGUUUUAAUUUCUAUAGCUGGGUAUAUUGGAAACCGCCAUUUUUUUUCUGAGCAGGCGAGGGAAUUUUGAGUAAGAGUUGGGAGAGUUUAGCCCGCCAGAGUGGCCUCCUUUUUUUCUUUUCUUUUUUUUUGUGCCUAAGCUUUCUACAACGCAUGACUGCAUUUUCGUUCUCAUUUCACUUGUGGAAUUCUAAUUAUUUAUUUUUCAGUAAUAACGUGAAGUCAAAACUGAAAAUACAACAUGCUGUGGAUGUGCUCAUGGUAACGCUGAAGGGGUCCAUGCUUUGUGGGAGCAGCCAAGAAAGUGGGAAUGAAUCGUGUAGCAGGAUCAUCAGCUAACAUGCUUCCCAUUUCACCACCAUCCCUUAGAGCUUCUAGGAAAUAGUACUUGCAGAUUAUUUCGGUAUCUGCCCUUGGCGUGCAUUCGUCUAUUUAGAGCUAAACGUCAGUGUGAAUGAAAUCCCAUGAGUUCUAGUGAAGAAACGUGUGGAAUUUGAAAGGCAUUUUAAACCUGGGAAAUGCUAGAAAAUUCAGGAAGGGUUUCGGAAACCACCUGGACGUUCUGUUGUCCGAGACACGGUCUACCUAAUGACUAAUACACUUCGUUUUCUACACUAACGCAUCUUCACAUGACGUUUUUAUAUCUUCCCUUUGUAUAGCAUGCUAUUGAUGGGUCACGGCAAGAAGCUGAUGGUGAACACCGAGAAGAUUGAAGUGUUUCAGAGGUUUAAAAUGUCCGGAAAGGAGCAGUAAGCAUGUGGUUUUUUUUUUUUUUUUUUUUUUUUGUCCAGCGUAAUAUUUUGAGAUCGUUCACGGUCUUGAUUCAGUCGGAAAAAGAAAAUCAGAUUGUUUCAUAAAUGUAGUUACUUCAUCCAAGGCGAUAUGUGUAAUGUGAAAGGAAACGUGACGGAUGAAGGGGUUUUUAUACAGAUUAGCCGGUCUUUUAUCAGUGUCUCUUUUUUAUUAUUAUUUAUUUUUAAACAAAGCAUCAGUUUUCUAAAAGAAGAAAAGGGCAGUGAACUAAUCCUCUGACGCACACUGAGACAUUGGAUGCAUCAGCAGGUCUCUUUUUGGCAGUCCUUAUUCGGAAAGACUUUGGAUCAGUGGCCUUUCGUUGGCCUUUUAAAGAUGAAUACCCUGCAAGAACGGAGGAGAUUCAGAAACAGCCGAAAGUCGAACACGUCUUACCUUGGCAACUGACUCUGCUCAGUGCCAAGUGAUGUCAUUUAAUAGGGCACAGUCUUUCGGAUAUAAACUUAUGGAAAAGAUGGCAAGGUGAAGGAUACAGGAUGAGUGUCGACGCUUCUCCAGAUGGUGUUUGCACUGUGGGAUGAGGUAGUAGGUUGUGUAGUUUUAGGGUCACACCCACACUGGGAGAUAACUAUACAGCCUACUGUCUUUCUCAGGGUGGCGAGGGAGCACCUGCACAUCUCAUCGUGUGUUGGGAAUGCAGUAUCAUAAGAUAUAGGGGUGAAUAAAACCCAAUUAGUUGAUGGACGUCGACGUUCAUGCCUGUUAAAAGAUUAUGCUUUCACAGUGUGAGGUAGUAGAUUGUAUAGUUGUGGGAUAGUGAUUUUAUCCUGUCUGGAAGAUAACUAUACAACCUAUUGCCUUCCCUGAGGGGCGGAGAUUCACAGUCAGUUUACCUCUUUAAAAUGAACUGUUUGUUAACGAAUAAAUAUAUUAUUUUAUUUGUGUAUGUAAGUGCUUGUGUGUUUCUGAAUUAAUAAAUGCCAUUCAUUGUGUCUCAUGGCCUAUUAUCUGUUUUGUAAGUGUUUUUUUUUUUUUUUUUUUUUUUUUUUUUUUUUUUUUUAAAUUAUGCUAUAAUGACUGAUAAUCUGCACACACAGUAAUAUGAAUAUGAAUCCAUCCGAAAAGUAAAUCCGUGAAAACCCAUUAGACUACAAUAGAGGAUGCAAUUUUCCUGAAGAUUUCAGUAUGUGUUUAAAACAUUUGUGCAGUGUUAGUGCUCCAGUGUUCAGUAAUCCAGGUUUAUCUUGCUCGGGUAGUUUAACAGAGCAAGGGUGUAUAUGAAUUGAGUAAUUGUGAUUUACCCAGUGGUGUUGGGGGACUGUCGAUUCCAGCUUUUUUCCGGGAGAUGGCGCUCUUUAAUUAUUUAUCAUAAUCCAGACGACGAAUGCAGCGUGUCACGUAAAGGCUAUACUCUUAAAAUUGAAAAGAGCUAGGUCAUACAGUAUUAUUAUACGAUGUCUGUUUAGGCCCCAUUUAAUUACUGCACUUGUAUCUUGUCAGUUUGUAAACCAAGGAGCAUAUCCAGUAGGCCUAUAAUAUUGGCAAUGUUAUAAAAUAUUACAACCUUUAUGGGAGGUCAUCCAUGAGAUCCAUUGGAUUAUUUGGCUUUCCUCCUGCCUGAGGGACAAUUAUUGUGUAGUUUGUACAUUCACACUAUUAAAAGCAAACAGCUCAAGACUGGAAACUCCAUCAGUUUUACAGAUGUCGUCAUUUCACCCAGACUGAAGAUUAAAUAGAAAUUUGCAAGCAGAUGGGUUGUACUGUAGAUAAAAAUCUAAGAUUUCAACACCUUAAAUCGUUGUGCUGACAAACUACUAUUAGUCUGAACGCAGUCUCGUUGCCUGUAUUCAUUGCUUUAGUGGAGAAGGAUCCUUUUCAUUUCCAGUGCUCUUUUGCACAGUAAUUUGUAUUAAACGUACUUGACAAGAUACAAGAUCUUUAAUGUCAUAUGCACAAGGUUCUUCACUAAGCAACGUGAUGCUGCAGUAGAACAUAUAGGCGAGAAAAGAAAGAAAGAAAAAAAGACAGUAAAUUAGCCUAAUAAUAGAUACAUAUUUGUGACAGGAGUUAUAUACCUUAUAAACUG